rnacentral:rRNA from 1 species
GACGAACGCUGGCGGCGUGCUUAACACAUGCAAGUCGAACGGAAAGGCCCUGCUUUUGUGGGGUGAUCGAGGGGCGAACGGGUGAGUAACAGGUGAGUAACCUGCCCUUGACUUUGGGAUAACUUCAGGAAACUGGGGCUAAUACCGGAUAGGAGCUGAUGCUGGAUGGUGGGGGGUGGAAAGUUUCGGCGGUUGGGGAUGGACUCGCGGCUUAUCAGCUUGUUGGUGGGGUAGUGGCUUACCAAGGCUUUGACGGGUAGCCGGCCUGAGAGGGUGACCGGCCACAUUGGGACUGAGAUACGGCCCAGACUCCUACGUUAGGCAGCAGUGGGGAAUAUUGCACAAUGGGCCGAAGCCUGAUGCAGCAACGCCGCGUUCGGGAUGACGGCCUUCGGGUUGUAAACCGCUUUCGCCUGUUACGACGCGUUAGUGACGGUAAUGGGUAAAGAAGCACCGGCUAACUACGUG